ensembl:lncRNA
UUACUAAUGUUGUCUAUUUAUUCAUUAAUAAAAAGUGCAUAGUACAAGCCCUUUACCCCAAUCCAAGUACUCAAUAAAAGAUUAACAGGAAACCCUGGAUGGCACAGACAUGAUUUGUUUGGCAUAAUUUAGACAUUUUAAAUCAGCGAUUAACAUUUAGUACAUCACAUGACAACUUUUCCUUUAGUUUUUUUGUUUUUUAAACAAAGUGAUCUCCAAACAUAGUAACAAACACACAUAAUUCUUCAUUUAAGAAUAUAAUAUAUUAAGAGACUAAACCUACUACUGCAAUAACAAAGAUUUAAUCCAUUAACUGUAAACUCUCUCUUCAUUACUUUUUCAGGUUGCUGGAAUUCCAGCCUUAAGAGAAUUCAGCUGGCAAUGUUUUUAAAACAAAUCUGAUUAGUGAAAGACUUUCAAUAUUUAAUCUCUUCCAAGGUUCCUUCUAAAAUGUGAGCUAUAUAAAUUCCAUAUAAACACGAUGGUACACUUUCAAUUCACAAAUCACAAAAGACACUAAAAACAACCUUGUGAUAGACUGUCUCUGACGGUUUUUUCAGAGAAUUUUUGCAGGUUUAAAAAUGUGACUUGCUGAACAUGGGAUCAUGGCCUGGAACGUCAUAAAACUUUUGACUACAAAACAUUUCCAACUUAGUUUUUUCCCAUAUGUAAAGCCAAAAGCAUCGUUUUGAGUAAAUAAAACUAAUUAUGCGGUGACAAACAAAAUGACCUCUCAACAACACACUAUAUGCAGUGUUUAAGUGCCACUGGUGAUUUUAAAAGAUGUGGCUCUAAUCUUUUUCCCCCCAGAAUAUUCAAAAAAUAAAAGGACUGUAGUGAUGGUCUUGAGAGCUAAUGCUUAUAAGGCAAAUGACUUGCUAGUUUGUUCAACAAAAAGGCCUCAAUCAUGCAGAAGCAUUAAGGGUUACGUCUGUUGCGUUGUUUUCAGAAUAAAUAAUCUGUAUCUCUUGCCCUGACUUAGAAGCAACACAAUUAGUGUCAGUACUCUGAAGAUAAGAACUGCUGUGGUUAUUCUUUAGAUAAGCAACCUGAGACAAAGAAAAGGGGGGGAAAAGCAACUGGAGGCAGGCCGGAAGGUCUUAGAAUAAGACGGGAUCCCUCCUUUCCAGGGCCCAGGCUGACACUGGAUAAUGGUAUCUGACAGCGGCAGGCCUCCCGGCGCUCUGAGGGGGGAGCAGAUGAGGGGCACCAGGUCCCCACCGUUCAUCUCAACUGCCACUGCCCCACCUGAUUCUCUCUCUAAAAGUUGGGAAAGCAGAGUCUGAUUGUCCAGUGGAUCACAGCAGAGGGAAACCAUUGUUUUGGGGAAUUAAGAGUUCCUGGAAUAGGACACCCCUCUAUUAGCAGAAGUAAUUAAGAGCUGGUUGUAUUUCCCUAAGUUGGUCAGAAAACUAAGAUGUACAAAAAAGAAUUCAAGUUAGGAAUAUCAGAUUGUAUAUUUAAAAUUAUGACUUUACAGAGUAUAGAUGGCCUAGAAUUCAAUCUUUAAAAAAAAAAAAAAAUACUCCCUUAUGUGUCACAGGACUAUAUCAGAGACUAUAUUACACAGUACAAUGAUAUAGAGAAGUUUAUUCACCUUAUACAACAAGUGCAAGUCUAUACAACGAGAGGCUAUGCUGAUACUGCAUUUAUGAUGAAAAAAGUCUUAUAUUGGAUAGAAGUGUACAUUCCAGGUUCCCAUAAGUUGUUCUCACUUACUGAGAAAAAUUCAAUAACCGAGGCAGCCAUGUACACAUAUUCUUUAUAUUAUUCUCACUCAUUUUCCAAACUGACCAAGAAAAACAUAAAACUGUUUAUUUUUCUGUACAUUUCAAAAAUGCUCCUAAAUUAAUAUCCACAAAGCAUUCCUCCCAUUAGCUAAAAUAGGACUCACAAUCAGGGGAGAAAACAAGCAUCUCUCAUUCUUCUCCAUCUGCCAUAUCACCUUGGAAUCAACAAAGAAUUCAUAGAGGUUUGUUAAAAGGUUAGAAUGGCAACAAA